rnacentral:rRNA from 1 species
GACGAAGGUGGCGAGCGUUGUUCGGGAUUACUGGGCGUAAAGAGUGUGUAGGCGGUGCUCUAAGUUCGGUGUGAAAUCUCCUGGCUCAACUGGGAGGGUGCGCCGGAAACUGGAGUGCUUGAGCGUGGGAGAGGAAAGCGGAAUUCCUGGUGUAGCGGUGAAAUGCGUAGAUAUCAGGAGGAACACCUGUGGUGUAGACGGCUUUCUGGACCAUAGCUGACGCUGAGACACGAAAGCGUGGGUAGCAAACAGG